ACAGUAGACAUGUGACACUGGUGGUUCAGUGGAGAUGAAAACAGCAGUGGGGCUGCUUGCAAUAGGCAAAUACAGGAGAUGAAUAGAAAGUGAUAAGGCUGCUGUACUUAUAACUCAAUAGGAGUCCCUCUGCAGAGAGGGGAAGUUGUUAAAAGCACACACACUGAGGUCACAAUUGCUUACACACACACACACACACACACACACAGAGGAACUCAUUCACAUGCACAAACAAAGACUCUCCCCUACCCAAGGACCACCAGCCCACGUACAGACUGGAUAGAUUCCUUAGGCGCUGACUGUUCCCACUAUGCAGGACAACAAGUCUGAUGUGAAGGCCAUCAUGGCUCGCUUCAACACGGGGGGAAAUGCUACAGAGGGUAUCUCCUCAGAAGGUCCAAAAGCUACAGUGCACCCCACCCUGUCCUCAGGACCCCCCAUCCAGCCUAAGAAACAUGCCCUGGAGACCAGCCUCUCAGGCAGCGCAGCCUCCACCGCACCCAAACCCAACUUCCUCAAGAGCACCAUCUCCACCAAGAGCGCUCCAGAAGUCAGGGACUUUCCCAAAAUCAAAGUUAUCCCUAGUAAGUUUGGAAACACCCAAGAGGACAGCAAACCCUCCUUUGUCAAACAGUACCCCUAUAAACUCAAACCACCUGGCCCAGAGAUAUCCCAGGAUGCUGAGGUCAAAAGCCCUUUGCCCAAACUCCCUCUCCAGAAGCCAUCUCUGAGCUUAACCUCGUCUGACACCAAGUCUGCCUUUCCCAAACCUCCCCUGGGUGUGGCCAAACCCUCCUGGGUCAAAGACAGCAGCCCCAAACCUGACGAUAGUGGGGGUACCUCGAACUCCAUCCCACCCAAAAUACCCCCUUCCAAAAAAAACAUAAUCUCCAUUGCAAAGAUGAGUCUACAGACAGAGGAUAGUGUGGAUGGAGCAGUGGAUUCUACAACCAAACCACUGGGAGCAGCUUCUAUCCUCAAACCCUCCAACUUCAGGACUGCACAGAACAUGUCCAACAGAGGAGAUACCCUAUCUGAGAAUGGGGUAAAGGAAAUAACCAAACUUCCCCUCACUUCCAGCGACUCUUGUCUUCCUAUACCUACAGCCAGUAAGACACCCAGCUUCAUUAAGAAGCCCCUGGGUCCCAGCUCCCCAGUCGUGGGGGUGAGCAACAGUAGCCCGCCCCCCCCCAAAUUGAACCCCAUGCCCAAUUUCCUGGCAAUAGGGACUGCGCCAGCCAAACCCAACCGGCCUCCUAGGGUGACCUUGGAUAAGUUCAAGAAGGGCACAGAGGCUAGUACCGAUGGUCCUGCUGGGUUAAAGAAGGGAUCUGUUCCACCAAACCCUGCCUCUCACCCCAGUAACCAUAUGGCCCCACCCCUGCCCUCUCAUCCCAUGGCCCUUAGCCUGCCCCCGCGACCACCAGAAGCCAUAAUCCAACCUGACCCAGAUGAGAACUAUGAUGAUGUGGGAUUAAUGAACAAUCCUCCACCCCCUCCCUCUGGAGGACAUCCUAGUCAAAAGACUAAGGACAGUGAAAGUGAUGAAAUGUAUGAAGAUCUUGACGAAAGAUGGGGGGCAGUGGAAUCAAAGGAGCAGGAGAAGAAGAGAGAGAGGGAGGAGAAAAAACGACAGGUGGAAAGGAAAGAACAGAAAGAACGUGAGAGGAAAGAACAAGAGGCCAAAAGGAAAUUCAAACUGACUGGUCCACUGAAGGUCAUCCACAGGGUCCAGGCCAGAGUGGACAGUAAAGGGAGUAAGAUGGACCUGGGGCUGAAGCAGGGAGAGUCUAUUGACAUCAUGCGUGUUUUGGACAACCCAGAAGGACGCUGGCUAGGGAGGUCACAGGACGGCUCCUAUGGCUAUGUGAAGACUGAGUCUGUUGAGAUUGACUUUGACACCCUGAAGCGUCAGGGUGUGUCUAUAUCCAGUCAUAUGGAGCACGAACCGGAGGUAUACGAUGAUGUGGCCUUUCAGAAUGACCUCAGCAGUGGGAUUAAGAGUGCAGGAAUGGUUCUUCCUUCCCCUCCUGAUGAGGAUAGUGACAUAUAUGACGAUCUUGACGAUUCAAGCUUCAACGUCAGAGUAUCCCCACCUUCCCAGUUUGACCAGACAGGAAAUACUGUCUCCCACUAAGUAAAACCAAGGGUAAGGCUGAGGACAAAUAUCUUAAAAAGCUAAAGAAACUUGAAAAGGAAGAGAAGGAAUUCAGAAAGAAGUUCAAGUAUGAUGGGGAAAUCCAGGUACUCUAUCAGGUGACCAUCAUUUCCACCUUGGCCAAUAAGAAGUGGAGCAGUAAAGCUCUGUUGUUGAGACCUGGGGAGACUCUGGAUGUCAUCGUUAAGCCUGUAGACAACAAACUCAUCUGCAGAAACGAGGAGGGCAAGUUCGGCUACGUCUUGACCAGCCAUAUUGUAGUAGAAGAUGCUGAUAUCUAUGAUGACAUUAGUGAUGGUUGCAUAUAUGACAACGACUGAACACUGUCUACAAAGUGAUGCGAUAUUUGUAUUUUGGGGGUUUCUUGUUUAUAUCAACAACCUUUAUCUAAUUUACUGCGAUUAUUUUGAGGUGAAGUGGUUUUCAUUCAAGAACAACACAGUCCACAGACACUUCCUCCCUUUAUGAAUAACUGUGACUUUGCAUUGAAUAGGCCUAAAUGACAUACACUUUCAAUAUAAAAACGGAACAUUGUAUUUCAAUGCUUAUAUUCUAUAUUCAACAAGAGAUAUUACAAUUCUGAUUGAAAACAAAGGUGCAAUGAUGAUACAUUUUCAUAAAAAAAAAUAUUAACAAUUUGAUGCCAAAUAUAGCAUGUCUGAUCAGUUGUCAUAUGGUUGGCUGGUUCUCACCUGACAGGUGAGUUAGGUCAUAUUGUAGACCUACUGAAAGUAAGAGCCCAUUAGUGAUGCGCAGUUCGCAAACGAUUUGUUCUUUUUUAACUACUCUUUUUACUGACUCGAGAAUCAUAAUUAGUUUGACUGAGUGACUUGUUCAUUUUAGUUCUUUGCUAGACCUGCUUGUGCUGGCAGCAAUGUAUCCUACCACUGUAUCCUACCACUGAGAUAAUAAUAGAGGCCCACAGUGGAGGCGUCAUGAUACCCAGCUGUCAAACAGAGAAAUGGUUCCUAUCGCUUCUCCACCAGUAAUUUUUCCCAUAGGGAAUUUUAGAAACACUUAAAAUAAGGAUGUGACAUUUUGAUAACCAUGUAAAUCUCUAACAAGGUGACUUUCAUCAAUAUAUUUGGUUCCAUUUACUCAGAUUCAAAAAUGAUCAUUGACAUCAAAGUAGGCAUCAUGCAAGACUACAAAACCCUCUUUGCACGUCAUCUUUAACUGACACCUUUGCUAACAGGUAUUGAUUCAAUUUAAAACCUGCACAAGACAGUUCACAUAAUUGUCAAUUCAAAGAAAUGUAGCCUAUUUAUUUAUUACUACAUUUAGCUAACAUUAGAUAAUUAAUCCAGAGAUUCUUACCUUUGUCUCGAGUCGGCAGUCUCGUCCAGAUCAUAAUGGCAUUUGUAGUUCUUUAUGAUAGCUACAUGAACAUCUAAUUAGGAUUUCAUUUUGUGGGGGAAAUACAGGUGAAAAUAGAGAGAUUUACAUGGUUAUCAAAACAUCACGCCACGGUAAGCCUACACGAAACACAGCCCUUAUUUUAAGUGUUUAUAAAAUCCCAUAUGGGAAAAACUAAUGAAGGAAAUGGUUCCAAUUUUUUUCCUCCAUUCGUUAUUUCCCAUAUGGGAUUUUAUAAACACUUGAAAUAAGGGCUGUGUUUUGUGUAGGCUUACCGUGGCGUGAUGUUUUGAUAAUCAUGUAAAUCUCUCUCUCAAUAUUUUCACAUGUAUUUCCCCCCAUCAUUUCACCUUCUUCUUCUAUGAUAUCAUGGCAAUCCGGAAACAAUCAUUUAAGUGCAUGCCGCCACCUACUGUGCUGGAAUGCACGAUCAAUCAUGAUCUGCCCAAAUCUGUACUACCAUGAAAAUACAAUUCAAAACCAAAUUAAAUCCCUACUAACUUCUAGCAACCCCCCCCCCCCCCCCCCCCUCCCCCUCAAACCCACUAUUCUUGAUCUGUAUCAUGCUGAUUUCUGCUUUCCACAACCUGAGUCGUAUUGAUAACCUUAUCAAUAACAGCUAUGAAGUCAACUUCAUUCAUUAUCAAAGUGUCCUUUGACACUGCACAUUCAUAAGCACAAGAUUUCUGAACAGGCCUCCAAACCAUGCCAGGAUCAGCAGAAGCACCAGACCAGACAGUAGGUCCACUUACUACAGGUACAUCCAUGUAAGCUCCAUCAGUCCGCACUGUAGUUCCACCAACCUGUUUUAAGGCCUCUGCAUAUGAUACAUCAUGGCUGAUCUUAUAUCUCUGAGCCUCUCUCUGUAGCUAACAUCCACCAAAUGCUGCACUGUGUUCUCCCCCACAAUUACAGCACUUAGCCAUCACAUUGCUUCCACAUUCACCAUAAUCAUGUGCCCCUCCACACUUGGCACAUCUUUUCUUUCCUUUACACUGAGCAGCUACAUGUCCCUUUCUUUGGCAUUUAAAACACUGCAGUGCAUACGGGACAAAUUCUCUGACAUUGACACUAAGGAAUCCUAUCUGUACUUUUCCCGGCAAGACUUUCUCAAACCUCAGCAUCACUGAUAAGCUUUCACUUCUUUGACCCUCUUUCCUACUUAUCAACCUUUUGGUCUCAAUAAGUCUGCCUCCAUUCACAUUUUAAUAUCAUCUGUGGACAUAGAUAUUGAGACCCCAGGGACAUGGCUUUUAAUCUUCUUCCCAUUAAGCUUUUCCAUUUUCUAAAUCUUCUCUUGGUAAGCCUGGAUACCACACAAUACUAACAAUCUGCCAUUUCCAAUUAACCAAGCUAAUUUAAUUUCACCUACCUCUUUCUCUAAAGCAUUAGUUAGUCGGAUAGGGUGUAAGUGGGGCCCAGUGGUCUCAUCAAACACUAUCACCACUUUCCACUCCAACACAUCACUACUCUUGAUUCAAACCUUGGCCCUCUUUAUGCUUUCUUUACUAGACGCUCCACUGCUUUCUGUAUCAUGAUCUCUCUUCUUCCUGUCUUUCCACUACCGACCAUUCUGGUCCUUGACCCUCAUCCUCCCAUUCCAUACAAUCAGAACUGAUACCCAUAUUGUUCGUAUUCCAACACAGCUGUUGCUUCACCAACUUUUUCUCCAUUUAGCCCGCACUACUCGCCGCCAUUUCCUAUUCCCCGAGCUAUGGAUCAACUCUACACGCUUCACCAAUCAAGGAACGUCAUGUGGACAACCUGCAGGCAGCAACCUGACAGCAAGGUGGUCAUUCUUGCUCAUUGGCAUGUUCUAUGGCAAACAGAGAUAUGACUAUCUGAAGCCAAGAGCUGAGGAAGAGAGGCGUGUUGAGGAAUCAGAGAAGAAGAUACGAGAGGAACAGGAAAAAAUAGCCAAAGCACUUGCGGAAGCCUCUGAAGACACCAUCCUGAAAUGAACUUAUGGAUCUACUCUGUCAUGUUAGAAGAAGAAUAAAUGCAUGAUAAACAUAAUUGAAUGUAUUACAGAAUUCUUCUCUGGUAUAUCUGUUUAGAUGGUAAUGUGCUUACAAUUAUUAGUAUAAUACUAACAACUUCCAGUACUCUCAAAACACAUCCAAAAUGUGUUUUGACAUCUAAAUUCAACCAGAUGUCGAAUUUCAUAUAACAUAACAUUUUGUAUAAUUUUAAUCUCAAAUCAGAAAACAUUUGUCUAUACCCUUGUGUAUUCUACUGACUAAAUGGAUAGGAAUAAAUAGUAAAGUUAACUGUCUGGUUCCUAGGUGUAUACUGUAUGUCUGGGACUGUCACCCUGCCCUUCAAUGUUAGGAGGAAGGACUAGGUUUUAAUCCAGGCCCAGUUUAGCAUAAAUCCCAGGAUUCAGGUCAUAGGCCAAUCUAAGAAAGUGCUGAGUCAACACUACUGCCACACACUCUUCUGCCUAGGUUCAACCAUGGAGAUCAAGUGAAGACUCUAGUGCCCGAAAUGCAGAUGCCAUUUUGGGACAGAUAAAUGAUGUGAUGUGUAUGGGUUUAACACAGAAUAGUCAUCUACCUGGCCAAUUUGUGAUUACAUUCAUGAAUAUUUGACAUGCACAUACUUUUUCUAUAAUCUGAAUUCAUUUUGUUGUAACUUGUUCUUGCAUUUCUAUCUGUAUGCUGCUGGGCCAGGGGUAACUUAGAUACUUUGACCCAACCUCUGGCCAUAUGCAUACAAACAAUAGUAUAUUUUACAAAUGAGUUUUCCUGUUAUAUAAAACUAACAAGAUACCAUUAGACAAAAUGCAUCCUUUAAAAAUGUAUUUACUUUAUUUUGGUUAUUGUAGAUAGCACAUACAGAACUUCAGAAUUCUGGUCAUGUUUACAUGCAAAUAUUUGUAACAGCAAAUUGGGGAAUAAAAUGUUAGUUGCAAUUUUUAA